GUAGGGAAUAUUGGACAAUGGGGGCAACCCUGAUCCAGCGACGCCGCGUGAGUGAUGAAGGCCUUCGGGUCGUAAAGCUCUGUUGCAGGGGAAGAACACAAUGACGGUACCCUGCUAGAAAGGAUCGGCUAACUUCGUGCCAGCAGCCGCGGUAAGACGAGGGAUCCUAGCGUUGUUCGGAAUUAUUGGGCGUAAAGCGGGUGCUGGUGGCUUGGUAAGUCAGAUGUGAAAGCCUGGGGCUUAACCCCAGAAGUGCAUUUGAUACUGCUGAGCUUGAGUGCUGGAGAGGCUAUUAGAAUUCCUGGUGUAGUGGUGAAAUACGUAGAUAUCAGGAGGAAUACCGGAGGCGAAGGCGGAUAGCUGGCCAGACACUGACACUCAGACCCGAAAGCAUGGGGAUCAAACAGGAUUAGAUACCCUGGUAGUCC
rnacentral:rRNA from 1 species